UUAUUCGGAGGAACCAAGGAAAGUAUUAGCUCGGGAAGUUAAAGAACUACGGAAUAAACGAGUACCGUUAGUAAAAGUGUUAUGGCAUCGACAUGGAUUGGAGGAGGCAACCUGGGAAACAGAGGAGUCAAUGAGAUCACAAUAUCCAAAUCUGUUUUCAGAUCAAGAAAACGAACUGAAUCGUGGAAAGGAGAAAAUUCAAGAAUAGUCCCUGAAUUUCUACGACUUUUGCAAAUUAGUCCAAAUUGACUUGAAGUGAAGUGGGUAGAUCGGAUCAACACAACAGGGCACACUAUUCAGAUCAAUUCUGGUAGUUUUUGUUUUAUGUUUAAAGAUUUAUAUGGCAUGUAUAGAGUUUGAAUGAAUUGAAGUAAAGAUGUUAUGAACUAGUUAACAAUAUUUGUACUAAAA